GGCCUCGCAAUUCUUACCACAAGCUGUGUUCUUUACACUGACUGUAUAGAAAGAGGAGGUAUAGUAAGUGUACCCCAUAUACACCUCGACACAUACCCUUUUCUGGUCUGUAUUGUGAAUUGGGGGACAAAA